rnacentral:rRNA from 2 species
UACGUAGGGGGCGAGCGUUGUCCGGAUUUACUGGGCGUAAAGGGUGAGUAGGCGGUUGUAUAUGUCAGGUGUAAAAGGCACAGGCUUAACUUGUGUUAGCACUUGAAACUGUACGACUUGAGUGCAGGAGAGGUAAGCGGAAUUCCUAGUGUAGCGGUGAAAUGCGUAGAUAUUAGGAGGAACACCAGUGGCGAAGGCGGCUUACUGGACUGUAACUGACGCUGAGUCACGAAAGCGUGGGUAGCAAACAGG